rnacentral:tRNA from 1 species
AUGGCGUAGUGGUCACUGCGCUCGCCUUGCACGCGGGAGACCAGGGUUCGAUUCCCUCU